GACGUAGGGCGCGAGCGUUGUCCGGAUUUAUUGGGCGUAAAGAGCUCGUAGGCGGCUUGUCGCGUCGACUGUGAAAACCCGCGGCUCAACCGCGGGCCUGCAGCCGAUACGGGCAGGCUAGAGUUCGGUAGGGGAGACUGGAAUUCCUGGUGUAGCGGUGAAAUGCGUAGAUAUCUGGAGGAACACCGGUGGCGAAGGCGGCAUCCUGGACCGGCAUUGACGCUGAGGAGCGAAAGCCAGGGGAGCAAACGGG
rnacentral:rRNA from 1 species